AAGAACUGUGGGGAUGUGGCACUGAGGGACGUGGUCAGUGGGCAUGGAGGGCUGGGUUGGGCUUGGGGAUCUCAGAGGUCUUAUCCAACCUGAAUGGUUCUAUAAUUCUGUGGUUCAGCCUUUUGAAAUCCAGUGUCCCAAGUAAAAUUCAAGUGGCAUGGAAAAGUGAAGCGAGGGGGAAGGGUUUUGCACUUAGGGGGGAAAAAAAAGGACAUUUAACCAUGUUCAUGGAAAUGUGUGAAAAAUGGAAGCAAGCCUGGCUUGACCCUUGGCUGCUUAGAGGCUAUAUUGCAGGAUAACUUGGGAAAAUGUUGUAGACAGAGAGUGUGAACCAAACGGUUCACCUUGAAUGAGUAAUGUGAGUGCUAUCAUUUUGUAAUGUGAUGCAGACCCAAAGCGUGGAUGCCACCACUCCCAGUUUUUGGGCCGAGCCCUUAUCGUAGUAUCAAGCAGCCUCAGUGAAAGUAUGCAGAAAACAAAGAGGGGAGAAAAUCCUUUUCAGAGGUAUAAAACAAUCUCCUAUUGUAAGGAGCUUGAUCGUUACUGGUGAGGCUUUCAAAGAAAACAGCACUGAGAUCCUCUUGCUGAAUAGGAACAUUAAUAUAUUAGAUGGAUGCUGAGCACUUUCAAGCUGGCCAUUUAGAGAGUUUGUGACCAGAAAUCAAUCCAGGCAGAAAAAAUGUACAUCUACCUGUUUACAUCAUAAACCACAAACGCGUUUGCAUCCUGCAACAAACACCUGGGCAACAUCCAGAGGAGACAUUCCCAACGUGUUAACUACUGCCAGCGCUGGGAUCCUGUAACCACAGCACAUGGAGAUGAUGGGAACUCAGUUAAAUUAAGGAGAACCACCAAGAUUGUGAAACGUGGCAGCAGGACAAGAGCUGGUUGCAACACAGGCUGGACUUUAGAAGUGUGACCUUUCGACCUGAAUCACGAUGAGUGGUUAUGAGGAAGAGCUGCUCUCACUUCUAAAUUAUUGCCAUGCAAUGAGCAGGUUUCCAUGGGGUAGCUGAAGGCAUGUCCUGAGGUCCAAGGGAUACAAGCAUCCCAUUCUUGCUCUACUUUGCACUAAAGGACUGGUCUUAGAGGAGCUUAUUCUCUAAAAAAUGACCUGACUGGCUGAAUAAAACACAAUUUCUGUUUUAAUAUUGUUGUGUUAUGAAACAUUGCAAUAGAGGCACAAAUGUGGGCAAGAACAAGUUUUACUGCAGACGCUUGAUCUGCUGACAGAUUGUCCCAGUGCUGCAUUCCUCAUUCCCUGGGGGUCUGGUCCAGCUCAGAUUGGAAGAUAGUGAAGAUCUUGGGAGAUCUCCAAUAGUGUGGGUCAAAAUUCACUGAUUACAGAAAUGCAAUUGGUUCAGUUGAUCUGCAUAAAGAAAAAAACCACAGCCCAUAGUGGGAAUGUAGAGUAGGAUUGAGAGGAAAAGCUGAGCCCUAAUAGGGAGGCUGGUGCGUGGUGUAUUCAAUAAUUGCAUUUAUGAAUAAACAAUUAAGUAUUACCAAUGAAUCUCUUGCAUUUUAUUGACCCAGGCACAGAAGCUGCUUUUUGGCACUGAUGACUUGCUCAGUUCACGCUUGACAAUGGGGAAUUGUAGUGGCUGUUCCCUUAAGAAAUCAUCCAAGAUUGGGACUUAUUUGUGCGCCAUUGCUUGCAUCAAUUAACAGUACAAUCUUUUUGUUAUGAAAACGCAAACAUUAGUAGCCUGAGGAGCCUUGUAAAUGCAAAUAUAAAACUUUAAUUUCAGUAACCCCCACUUUCCCUUCAAGUACAAUAAAGG
ensembl:lncRNA